rnacentral:tRNA from 1 species
GCAAUGGUGGUUCAGUGGUAGAGUUCUCGCCUUCCAUUCAGGAGACCCAGGUUCGAUUCUCGGCCAAUGUA